rnacentral:rRNA from 1 species
UACGUAGGGUGCAAGCGUUGUCCGGAAUUAUUGGGCGUAAAGAGCUCGUAGGCGGUUUGUCGCGUCUGCUGUGAAAACUCGGGGCUUAACUCCGGGCCUGCAGUGGGUACGGGCAGACUAGAGUGCGGUAGGGGAGACUGGAAUUCCUGGUGUAGCGGUGAAAUGCGCAGAUAUCGAGAGGAACACCUGCGGCGAAGGCGGGUUGCUGGGCUGAUACUGACGCUGAGGCGCGAAAGCCAGGGGAGCGAACGGG